rnacentral:lncRNA from 1 species
CCGGGGCAAAGCCGGGCUGCGUGCCAGUGUUUGCGCUUUGAUUUAUUAGCAGCGUUAUUGAUUUUCACCUCUGUCUGGGCGCCGGCUUUGGAGCAGCUCCCAGCUGGCUGCCCUCCAUGUGCUGCCGCCUCUGCCAGCCCGCCGCACCUUUCCGGAGCGGGAGGCGCUGCAAAGCUCAGGCCUCGCUCAGCUCCUGGGGAAGACGCAUCUGGCCUUCCUCGGGUUGCUUGCUGGUAAUCACUGACCCUGGACAUCACGACUUUCUGGUUACAGAUGGGACUUCUGCACUACUACAAAGGUCUCCAGGGCACCUAAUGACAUGGGCUGAGGAAGUAACUGGUGUGUUUUGGCACCAGCACCACUUGCAGGCUGUCAGCCCUUGGUAAGCAGAGCUUCAGCAUCCACCUCCAAACAGGCAGAGCCAUGGGAGAAGCUGUGCCCACUGCCUCAAAGGAGCUGCAUCCCCUCUGAUGGACUGAGCUCCAGCCCUGGAAUGUGGCUCAGUCACCUGCCCAUCUCCAUGUGUGGCUUUUCUCUCCAAACUACAAGCACUGGCAGUGGGGGGUGAAGAGAGUGAUCCUCUCAGAGGCUGGAGCAGCAACAGUAUUCACUUGAUGCACUUCAAGAGUUUUUCCCAACUCCAUGGAGACACCAAGUGAGUGUGAUGGGACAGAGACGGUCUUUCUAUGGAGAAUUAACCAAAAGCAAUGUUGAACAGAGAUGUUCAGUAUUUUUUUUUCUCACUUCCAUGAGGGAAUGGCUUGUCAUUUCUUGAUAUAAGGGGGUGGACAGCUUUUGCAUAAGAAAAUAACUUCUUGCUUCUACAUUUUCUCUCUACACUGCUUUUGCUCUUGUUGACAGAGCUGCCUGACCACCCAGUCCUCACUUUUCCAGCAGCUUCAGUACCUUUAUUUGGACAAAUAAUCCCAUUUAUUAAAUUGGUGUUUUCCACAUUGGGAGCAAGGUACCAAAAUCCAUCAUGUUCUGGGGUUUUCUGCUAGAUAAGGAAAAAAAGAAGCAAAAUGCCUCAGAAAACUGAGCCUGCACAUUCUGAAUUUUCAUGUUGUGACACUAUUCAUAGAAAAGAAACAAAAUGCUCUGAUACAAUGGAUGCAAUUCUCCUGGCACAUCUACUGGAAGGGCAUCUUUAAUGAAGUCCAUAUAAUUUUUCUUUUGACUCUUCAAAUUCAUGCACAUAAACUAGAUUCAAAUCUUCCUCUCAAUUAGCAAGUUCUAGCUUCAGCCUGGGAGGAUGUGUUUCAAGUACUUUGGAGGCUCUGUGUAUAUAUGUCUAAAAUGGGUAUCCUGGGAGCUAUGGUUGGCCCUGACUGCCUUUGUCCCAAAAAAAAGGUAGCACUUAGGGGAACAUAUUUCUCUGCUUUUCUUGCAGUGCUGUGCAUUAAUGCCACUACUCAAGCUAAGAAUAGAGAGUCUUCAUCUUGAUGGCUUUGAAACAGACAAGAACAGCAAAUCUUACUAAUGUGCAGGCCAGAUCCUGCUCUCAGCUGCACAGACUUCUGUGGAACAAUUUAGAAGUUAAUGAUGCACUAGGGACCCUGUGGUGUAGAUGAAGCACCAUAACACAGAAAUGUUUGUUGAAAAACCACUCUCUGAGCUCUCUCUGGUUCCUUUAUCUCAGCAAGAGGUAAUUUCAAAUAGGGUCUCAAAGGGAUGUGCUGUGAGCCUUUCUCUACUGGAUAUUUUUACUGUUAUGUCCAGUGGUGCUAACUGGAGAAUGUAUUUAUAUAAUUUUUUCUAUUACUUCCUUGCUUGAAAGGACUGAAAGACUCACCAGGAGUGAAGGCCUGAGUUAAAGAUGAUUUGGACUAACAGGGAAAAUGGCCCAGAAUGAAAUUCAGUGAUGAUGAAGAUGAAAUUAUAUAUUUAGGGAUGUACAACUACCCAAGUGGCAAAAGUACUGCAAAAUAAGAACAAAGAGUCACAGCAGGUCAUGGGGUAAAUAUAAAUACAGGUAUUCUACUGUGGCAGUUGUUCUCCCCAUCUACUUGAUACAGGAUGAGGGCAAAUCAGGUUAACCUGUGUGAAGGAGAACUUAUGUUACAUGGGAAGAAAAAUAUCAUCUGAAAUUUGUAGCCAGUAUCCAAGGGAGGCCACAGAUCCCUGCCACGGUGUGUUCAGGAAUAGAUUAGAUGAAGCACUGUCAGGGAAGGCUUCAUGCUGUGCUUCAUGCUGUCCCAACACUGUUGGUGUCCCAGCACUGGGGUGACCUCCCAGCCCCUGCAGCAUCAGCCACAUUUGCCUUGCAGCUUCUCCAGCAAAGUCCUCUUCUUGUGUUUGAGCCAGGAGCCCAAACACAAGGAGAGCGAGCACUGAUGCAGUGGCCCUGCUCACACUGUUGCUUUGAGAAAAUAAGAGGAUUCGAUUUUUAAGAAUUCAUGUACAUUUUGAACAGAUCCCUCUCUGCAAAAAAAAAAAAAAAACAAACAAAAAAAAUCAAACAAACAAAAAACCCCCCAACAAACCAAAAAACCCCCAGAUUAAUUCAAAAAGUUGUCAAGUAACACAGAAGCCAUAUAUUGUAAAGUCUGUAUAAUCCAGACACUUGAUUCCUAAAAAAUGAAAACAGUAUUUGAAAUGACAGGUCAGGAAAAUCUUGCUUUUCUGAGUAUCUGUUGGAUUUCUUGUCCCCCUGCUUCUUCCACACAAAGGACCCCUCCCCUGUCCACAUAUUCCUUCCUUGCUUCAUUUGCUGUAUUGGGAAGAAGAUAGAAACAGUGUGGUCAAAGAGACAGCAAAAAACAAAAACAAAACCAAAACCCAAACCAAAAUCAAAGAAACAAACCACAAAAACAAACAAAACCAAACAAAAAAAAAAAACCCAGCAAACUAUAAGAAGAGGCAAAACUAUUGGAAGAGGCAAAAGUAAGUGUGACAGCACUGCAGUAAAUAAGGAAACACCAUUUAAAUUGGAUGUUAUCCAUGCAGUUUGCAUUUGAGCAUAGCCAAAUAGAUUUUGGUAAGUGCAGCCCAGCUCUGCUCCCUUUACAUAUCCCCCUUUUCCAAAAGGAACAAAGGUAAUUGCUUUAACACUCAGAAGAGAAAAGGAGAGAAAACCAGAUAAAUUUAAUAGUAUGCUUUCUGUAAUUUCUUUGCUAUUUUUGGUUUUCCUCUCUGAGGGAGGCAGGGAAUAAAAGCCUUUAAAGCAGCUGCCUAGCA